rnacentral:lncRNA from 13 species
CAGGAGUGUAAAACCUGUCCUUUUCUCUGCUCAUUUUUAUUUUGUCCAAAUUCUGUUCCAAAAAAAUGGUAACCAUUUCUUUUGGCUCCUGUGAAUUACAUGCUUAAGUGAGGUGAUGGGAAUACAAACACAAGCUGAUGAAUAUGUGAAUAUUACUGGUGUGGAUGUGGGUGCAGGAGAUGGCAAAUGUACUGUAGAAGACCAGCUGCCAGAGGCUUACAGCUCCCUAACAGACAAAGGUAUGGGAAUAUCCAAAUGGGCAAAAAGAAGCAAAUGGCACAGACAAGGAACUUCACAUCCAAACCUCACUCCUCACAAAACAAUCUGCAGUCUCAGUCUCGUCUUGUGAGUACAGACCUUGGUAUUGAAUUGGGAAGCAUCAUCAGACUUUUAAUCACUGUUUACUUUAAUUAAGCACAUGGUACUAAUGUAUUCAGAUAGUAAAUGCCAGUCUAAACAACACAAGUAAUGGCAUUCAGGCUACCUCUGGGAAAGUCUGCAUAGGUAUCUAAAAAGCAUAGCUACCUCUGACUUGCUUUCCUCAUUCCUGUGGAAAGGGCUGCAGAAAUGGUACAGACAUAGCCAAGCUCAUAUUUAACUCCUUCUCUACUUAAGGAUAUUAAGA